GCUGGGAGUUUUCUUUCUCUACAAGAAGCUAGGCCUAGCUGUAGCCCAGAGCCUUCUACUUGAGGCCUUUCACCAAGAUCCCUGCUGUCAUAAGUCCUUACAUGCACGACAGAGAAAGUGGUAGCAAGUUAGAGCAGGACAGUGACCUGGAAGCCUUCAGAACAACACUGAUCUGUCUUUGGAUUGGCUUGCUUCAGGCAUUACAAUGAACUCUGCCAAUGGCAAGAAAAUUGAAGCAAAUUUGGGAUGGCCCUUACUGGCAGCUGAACUAAUGAACCUAGCUGAGGUUUUGUAUCAUUGAGACCACAUUCCUCCACAUAUGCUGGAAAUCAUAAAAUUAAUCUCUUUCUAUCCUUACCUGUUGGGGUACAGUAUCAAUUUGGAGUACAGAAUCACAUUGAUUUAUUCCUGAAGCCUUGGGAUUGCCUUUCUAUGUGUAUACACAAGGGAGUGUACAAUUCUGCCAUAAAAAUCAAUUAUUAAAAAGCUGAACCUUAGGAACAACCACUGAAACCUUGUUGCUUGGCUUUUCAUGCACAACAGGAACAAUCUCAUCCACAGCUGCAAAGCGCCACUGAAUAAAAGCUUCCUUUGGUGAUUUUGGGUGCACACAACUUUGCUGCGUUGUGUACCAAAGGAAGUCUUUAAUUGGCAGUGAUUGGUCAAUGUCGAUGAUGCCAUUUCCAUUGCAGACACAGAGCUGAAUUGUUGGGAACCCAUGGAGUUGGCAGUAUUGUGUUCGAAUGGAAUAAUGUCCCUCUUGGGGCAGAGCAAUUUCCUAUGUUCCUGAUACUUAUCCCCAAAAAACCUGUUGUGCAUAUGUUUAGUUAGCAAGGAAAAAAACACCUUUCUGUUUAAGUAACCUUGGAGUAUUUGAGCACACUCUCACACCUCAUACAUUAAGUAUUAAAGCAUGAAGCAGCAAUCUGUUCUGGAUCCUAGAAGGACACAGUUAAUGUUCUAAGAAAUUCUUAAGCAGGGUGAGUUGUUUGGGUGUUAUUAGUUGUUUCUGUUCACAAAAUGGCACAGGGGUAUCAUCACAUCCUUAGCUGCAUGCAGAAACAUGUUUUGGACCAGCCUUACACAUCAUAGGUUGAGGAGUGGGAAGCCUAGAUUAAGAAGGUGUGGCAGGAUGCUGAGAUGGUAGAAACUACUGUCCACAUUUGGAUGACUGCUGUGACCGUCUGCCACUCGUGCUGCAACACCCCCUGCCUGGCACACCUCCGCGGAGUCUUCAACCUUCUGGAGAAGAAAGGAUUUGUCCCCCUCAUUGGGAAGACCGCAAGGAGAACUGAGGAAAAACCCGCCCCCUGUUAGGAGUGAAUUAGUGUAGGGAAUCCCCGUUAGAGA